UACGAGGGGGGCAAGCGUUGUUCGGAAUUAUUGGGCGUAAAGGGCGCGUAGGCGGUGCGGUAAGUCACCUGUGAAAACUCUGGGCUCAACUCAGAGCCUGCAGGCGAAACUGCCGUGCUUGAGUGUGGGAGAGGUGCGUGGAAUUCCCGGUGUAGCGGUGAAAUGCGUAGAUAUUGGGAGGAACACCAGUGGCGAAGGCGGCUACCUGGACCGGUUCUGACGCUGAGGCGCGAAAGCGUGGGUAGCAAACAGG
rnacentral:rRNA from 1 species